CCCGACUCCGUGAAGCUGGAUUCGCUAGUAAUCGCGCAUCAGCCAUGGCGCGGUGAAUACGUUCCCGGGCCUUGUACACACCGCCCGUCAAGCCAUGGGAGCCGGGGGUGCUUGAAGUGCGUCGCCGCAAGGCGCGCCCUAGAGCAAAACCGGUGACUGGGGCUAAGUCGUAACAAGGUAUC
rnacentral:rRNA from 1 species